UUCAAGUUGAAUGCAGAUUUGUCAAAGGCGGUAUCCGCACAUUGCUGGCCACCCUUGAGUGAGAACAUGAUUAUCAAGGAGACAGCAGAGUGGGUUUUAAACCGAGUGUACUUCAUGUCUUCAUUUCAUGUCUUCAUGUCUGCGAAGUGUGUGCUUGGAAAGAUACUUCUGGAAUGUUCUUCAACUCUGUUCCGAUAAAACAACGGCGUUUACUGCUUUCCUGAGGUCCCUGAGGCAAUAGUGGUGACCGUGAAAAUGGCAUGUUCCUAAAUGUCUCUCAUGGUGGGCUCUCCAGCCAGAGGAAGGGACCCCCACCCCCCAGACGAGAGUCUGAGCAGUAACACAUCUGAGCCUGGGACAUCUUCCAGAGUAUAGCAUGAGACACCUGCCAGUCUACACUAUGGUGGGAAAUCUCCAUGUGGAAAAUGGAGAGACAGAGCAGCUGAGGAGGGCUGAAAUCCAGGCAGUGUUAAUCAACUCCUUCUGCACAAAGUCAGUGGUUCUGCCUGUCCCCACUCCUGAAGUGCUGGCCUGGCUGCACAGCUGCUCAGAGCCCACAGGAGGCACCUGGAAGAGGGUGACUCUAGACUCCUUGUUUCUGAAAUAGGUUCUCAGUAGGCAGCCCCAGCUGUUCUGAAACUCCAUAUAUAGGCCAGGCCAGUCUCAAACCUGCCCCUGUCCCCUGAAUGCUGAGCGUAAAGACGUGUGCC
rnacentral:lncRNA from 1 species